rnacentral:rRNA from 1 species
GACGAACGCUGGCGGCGUGCUUAACACAUGCAAGUCGAACGGAAAGACCCUGCUUUUGUGGGGUGCUCGAGUGGCGAACGGGUGAGUAACACGUGAGUAACCUGCCCUUGACUUUGGGAUAACUUCAGGAAACUGGGGCUAAUACCGGAUAGGAGCUCCUGCUGCAUGGUGGGGGUUGGAAAGUUUCGGCGGUUGGGGAUGGACUCGCGGCUUAUCAGCUUGUUGGUGGGGUAGUGGCUUACCAAGGCUUUGACGGGUAGCCGGCCUGAGAGGGUGACCGGCCACAUUGGGACUGAGAUACGGCCCAGACUCCUACGGGAGGCAGCAGUGGGGAAUAUUGUACAAUGGGCGGAAGCCUGAUGCAGCAACGCCGCGUGCGGGAUGACGGCCUUCGGGUUGUAAACCGCUUUCGCCUGUGACGAAGCGUGAGUGACGGUAAUGGGUAAAGAAGCACCGGCUAACUACGUG